rnacentral:rRNA from 1 species
CUCCUGACUGACCGAUAGUGAACCAGUACCGUGAGGGAAAGGCGAAAAGAACCCCGGCGAGGGGAGUGAAAAAGAACCUGAAACCGUGUACGUACAAGCAGUGGGAGCACGCUUAGGCGUGUGACUGCGUACCUUUUGUAUAAUGGGUCAGCGACUUAUAUUCUGUAGCAAGGUUAACCGAAUAGGGGAGCCGAAGGGAAACCGAGUCUUAACUGGGCGUUAAGUUGCAGGGUAUAGACCCGAAACCCGGUGAUCUAGCCAUGGGCAGGUUGAAGGUUGGGUAACACUAACUGGAGGACCGAACCGACUAAUGUUGAAAAAUUAGCGGAUGACUUGUGGCUGGGGGUGAAAGGCCAAUCAAACCGGGAGAUAGCUGGUUCUCCCCGAAAGCUAUUUAGGUAGCGCCUCGUGAAUUCAUCUCCGGGGGUAGAGCACUGUUUCGGCAAGGGGGUCAUCCCGACUUACCAACCCGAUGCAAACUGCGAAUACCGGAGAAUGUUAUCACGGGAGACACACGGCGGGUGCUAACGUCCGUCGUGAAGAGGGAAACAACCCAGACCGCCAGCUAAGGUCCCAAAGUCAUGGUUAAGUGGGAAACGAUGUGGGAAGGCCCAGACAGCCAGGAUGUUGGCUUAGAAGCAGCCAUCAUUUAAAGAAAGCGUAAUAGCUCACUGGUCGAGUCGGCCUGCGCGGAAGAUGUAACGGGGCUAAACCAUGCACCGAAGCUGCGGCAGCGACACUAUGCGUUGUUGGGUAGGGGAGCGUUCUGUAAGCCUGUGAAGGUGUGCUGUGAGGCAUGCUGGAGGUAUCAGAAGUGCGAAUGCUGACAUAAGUAACGAUAAAGCGGGUGAAAAGCCCGCUCGCCGGAAGACCAAGGGUUCCUGUCCAACGUUAAUCGGGGCAGGGUGAGUCGACCCCUAAGGCGAGGCCGAAAGGCGUAGUCGAUGGGAAACAGGUUAAUAUUCCUGUACUUGGUGUUACUGCGAAGGGGGGACGGAGAAGGCUAUGUUGGCCGGGCGACGGUUGUCCCGGUUUAAGCGUGUAGGCUGGUUUUCCAGGCAAAUCCGGAAAAUCAAGGCUGAGGCGUGAUGACGAGGCACUACGGUGCUGAAGCAACAAAUGCCCUGCUUCCAGGAAAAGCCUCUAAGCAUCAGGUAACAUCAAAUCGUACCCCAAACCGACACAGGUGGUCAGGUAGAGAAUACCAAGGCGCUUGAGAGAACUCGGGUGAAGGAACUAGGCAAAAUGGUGCCGUAACUUCGGGAGAAGGCACGCUGAUAUGUAGGUGAAGCGACUUGCUCGUGGAGCUGAAAUCAGUCGAAGAUACCAGCUGGCUGCAACUGUUUAUUAAAAACACAGCACUGUGCAAACACGAAAGUGGACGUAUACGGUGUGACGCCUGCCCGGUGCCGGAAGGUUAAUUGAUGGGGUCAGCGCAAGCGAAGCUCUUGAUCGAAGCCCCGGUAAACGGCGGCCGUAACUAUAACGGUCCUAAGGUAGCGAAAUUCCUUGUCGGGUAAGUUCCGACCUGCACGAAUGGCGUAAUGAUGGCCAGGCUGUCUCCACCCGAGACUCAGUGAAAUUGAACUCGCUGUGAAGAUGCAGUGUACCCGCGGCAAGACGGAAAGACCCCGUGAACCUUUACUAUAGCUUGACACUGAACAUUGAGCCUUGAUGUGUAGGAUAGGUGGGAGGCUU